rnacentral:ribozyme from 1 species
UUUUAAAAUUUAUUUUUUUUUUUUUUUUUUUAUUUUUAUUUUUUCUUCGCUGCUUAAUUUUAAUGAACCAAGAACGAAUGCC